rnacentral:rRNA from 1 species
GCCGCCUCUGAUCUCUUCGGAGUGAGGGGGAGUGGUGGAGCCGCUGAACCGGACUUGUAGUAGGUAAGUGAUGGGGUGACGCAGGAAGGUAGUCCAGCCCGGGCGGUGGUUGUCCCGGGGUAAGGGUGUAGGACGUUGUCCAGGUAAAUCCGGGCAGCUUUAAGUCUGAGACCUGAUGCCGAGCCGAUUGUGGUGAAGUGGAUGAUCCUAUGCUGUCGAGAAAAGCCUCUAGCGAGUUUCAAGGCGGCCCGUACCCUAAACCGACUCAGGUGGUCUGGUAGAGAAUACCGAGGCGUUCGGGUGAACUAUGGUUAAGGAACUCGGCAAAAUGCCCCCGUAACUUCGGGAGAAGGGGGGCCACUUCUGGUGAUCAUCUUUACGGUGUGAGCUGGGGGUGGCCGCAGAGACCAGCGAGAAGCGACUGUUUACUAAAAACACAGGUCCGUGCGAAGCCGUAAGGCGAUGUAUACGGACUGACGCCUGCCCGGUGCUGGAACGUUAAGGGGACCGGUUAGUCACAUUUCGGUGUGGCGAAGCUGAGAACUUAAGCGCCAGUAAACGGCGGUGGUAACUAUAACCAUCCUAAGGUAGCGAAAUUCCUUGUCGGGUAAGUUCCGACCUGCACGAAUGGCGUAACGACUUCUCGACUGUCUCAACCAUAGGCCCGGUGAAAUUGCACUACGAGUAAAGAUGCUCGUUUCGCGCAGCAGGACGGAAAGACCCCGGGACCUUUACUAUAGCUUGAUAUUGGUGUUCG